CGGAGUGGAUAGUAAAUUGAUCCACGCUGUUUUUAAGCAAAGGGUGGAGGUAUUGCAUCGUUACGUUGACAAAUGUAAUGACCGUGAACUUCAAGUACUCCCCGUACUCCAGUCAUUACUCGGAAAAUGUCAACACCCUGAAGAUUUGAUUCGUGAUGUCUUUGAGAUAUUCUGUAAUGGUGAAGUAAUCUCUGAGUAGUCCGUUCAGUCUUGGGUGUUUGAAUGGAAUCCUAGCUCAUUGGAAGAGAAUUAAGAUAACUUGGAUAUGAGGUUCCUGUUUUGGUUCAGCGAGUUAGUUAUCGACACUGAACAGGCUCUUGACUGAAAAACAUUGGAAUGUGAUGGAAGGCACAUUUUUCGUUUUUAAGUGCUAAAAAAAAAGUUGCCCGUGCGUGCAGCUUUUUGUUUUGUUUUAAGAAUAUUUUUGCAACUACUGUUUCGCAUGCUCCCUUAACCAUUUAACCUAGCAUGUCCGUUCGUUCUUACUUUUUAUAUUUUCAAGCAUUAACACAUAUAAUAAUUGUCGAAAUAGACCAUUUUUUUGUUGAAAGAAAUAUAGGCGAUCAACUGCAAGACUACGUCUAACAA